rnacentral:lncRNA from 1 species
CAGAGCUGCCGUAUGAUCCACCAAUCCUACUUCCUGGAUAUGUCAGAAGUCUUGAAAUUGGGAUCUUGAAGGGGAAUCCAAACAUCUUUAUCCAGGGCAGCACUAGCUAUGAAAGCCCAAAUACAGAAGCAAUCUAAGAGUCUGUUGAAAGGCAUUCUAACUGGGAUGAAGCACUAUAUCACUUUGCCAAGUGUCCGAGCCGGCCGGCCAUCUGUAUGUUCUCUAACAUGGACAUCUGUUCCUGAUAUGUAUACGCAGGGCCAGUUUGAUGCCCCACUCUCCAAACCGAAAGCCCUGUUCUUUCUUUCUCUUGACUGAUAGCCACUGCCAGGGUUUCUACCACUGCGGCCAACAGAAAAGUGUUCUAUGCCAAUAAAUAGUCUCCCACGCAUGGAAACAGAGAGCCCUGGCUUCUGCCUGCCCUCAGAGUGAGCAGCCGUCACACCUGUCCAGCCUUGUGUUUUCUGAGGGCUGUAGCAGUAUGCUAUGGCCCCAGGUCUCGGUUUCAUUGCGGUGAAUGGAAUGGAGAAGACAUCUUGCCAGCCAGAACACAUUAAAGGUUCACCGCAGAUGCCCCCAAACCACUGCUGUGUUUCCCAUUAAGGACAGACUAGUUUAGACUCCCGAAUGUUUCCAGGAAUGUAGGAGGUUUUGAUCUGUUGUUCUUUCCACCCCAUUGUUUCAAAGCUCCAGUUAAAGAGGGCCACAUGUACUGCUCCCAAGGCAUGAAGGGAGCUAGAAAUUGAAUGAUUUGGGAUAGUCUGAUUCUCUUUAAAACAUUUUUUUUUUACAAGUAAGUGGUAUGUAGACACCAUUUUAAAUAUAUUCUUUCUGGUGAUCCAAGACUCCACACUUGAUUCUAAUUGGCAAGGGAUUUGUCAUUCU